rnacentral:lncRNA from 1 species
UACUUCUGACAUUCUAUGCAUUUCAACUAUGGGAAACCAUUUGAAAGUCGAGCUGGGGAAUUCACUAAAUCAGUUAAGCCCAAUUAGAGGAAGCCCUACUUACUGAGUGGAAGGAAUCUCCCUUCUCUGAGAAUAUCAAAAGAGUUUCCAUCUUUGAGGCAUUGAAUUCAAGUGCGCACAACUUGAGAAGCACCCAGUGGAGCAUGGAGCGAAAAAGACGGAACCUGCAGGUGGCCUCUCAGAUUUUGGAAACCAUCCCUGCCUCCAGAGAGGACCUGAGAAAAGAAAGACCUGAGAAUGAGCUUGGCCUGAGGCUGGACACCCUGCUGUUAGGGAAGGAUCAGGGACCUCCAACCACCACCACCAACAACAACAACUUAACCUGAGUCAAAAAAGAGGUUGUGUGCUGAUUUUGACUAUCAGAGAGCAGGUCUUUACCCUCUGUUUCCAGUAGCCAGCUGCUUUCUCAAUCUCACACAUUCUGAGGAUGAUAGCACUGUUGUCCUACUGCCAAGUUCUGCUUUCCUUUUCCAGCAUCAAAGAACCUGACCCCUUUUUCUUUUUUUUUUUUAAAACCACACCAAAAAUAAAAUAAAUAAAUAAAGACUGCGCUUCA